UACGUAGGGUCCGAGCGUUGUCCGGAAUUACUGGGCGUAAAGAGCUCGUAGGUGGUUUGUCGCGUUGUUCGUGAAAACUCACAGCUUAACUGUGGGCGUGCGGGCGAUACGGGCAGACUUGAGUACUGCAGGGGAGACUGGAAUUCCUGGUGUAGCGGUGGAAUGCGCAGAUAUCAGGAGGAACACCGGUGGCGAAGGCGGGUCUCUGGGCAGUAACUGACGCUGAGGAGCGAAAAGCGUGGGGGAGCGAACAGG
rnacentral:rRNA from 1 species